UGGGUGGCUCAUUAAGUGGUAUAUAUUUUUCUCUCCUUUAUGAGUAAUAAGAGCAUUCAAUGUUUCACCCAAGUUGAUUUACUUAGGCUUUAACUAUGAAUCUGGAACUUUUAUUCCACAGUUUAAUCAACCCUUUGUUGCAUUGCUUUUUUAUUCUGUUAUAGAUACUUUAUUGUUUAUUGAGACAUAGAUGCUUCGUACUUGGCAUGACAUUUAGAUAAAAUGAUUACAUGAAGAAAAAAAAAAAUUGAAAUUGACAUGAAGUAUAAAUAUGUCCAGCUCAUUUUAACCUUAAACAUCGUCUGUAGGAUUCUUUAUCUGUUUGCUGAAUUAGAUUAGGCCAUGAGCUCUGUUCAUAAGUAUGUUACAUGUAUGGUGAAUGUUUAUCUAGUUACAACAGCAGGAUUCAUGGCUUUUUGCUUUUAGAUCAUUUUAUAUGUCAUUUUGCUUGCUGUGGAAAAAUAGGUGUGUGGUUAAGUACUUAUUAGUAGCAAUCUCAUUGCAUUUCGCAUUCCUAUUGCUGCAAUAUCAUGGCAAACUCAAUACACUUAGGGUUAUAGUGCUUUGGUACUGUGAGAAGAAUCACCAUUCGUCAGUUUCUUCAUUUGCCCUGUGAUUGUUGCAUUCUCUUUAUGAUGACUUGAAUACCAUUAGUGUGGUCAAUGAUUUCAUCACAAGAAGUAUUUUGAAUGCAACCUGUUACCGUCAUUGGCUUGCGAUCUGCACUAGUUGUUGCCUUAA
rnacentral:misc_RNA from 1 species